CAAACCUGUGGCCCUGGACCCGCUGGUGGGACACUGCGGGUGGGAGCGGGGUACAAUCCCACCACCAACCUGCGGCUGGGUUCAGCUGCCCUCCCAUCAGAAGGCCCCCACAGUCCCAAGCCGGGCCGAGGUGUAACCUUUGCAGUCUUCACUCUGGAGCAAUUUCUCAGCCUUACUAUUCCUUUUCUUGCGUGAUCCCUGCAAUCAAAGCCGGCUGCAGCCAAAUGACCCAGGGCCACAUGCAUGUUAAAAGCCUCCCCACCAGGCAGCUACUGAGUUUUCCUUUGAAGGGCAGAGCACUCGCAGCCACAGUGCCCCAUGCCACCCCGAAACCCGCAACCCCCCCGAGUCCAGUGGCACCGCUGAGCCCUGGUUCGGAGCAGCCGGAGGAAACUGAGUCAGGGUGAGGGCAGGGGCUUGGCCCAGAGCUGCAGCCCAUGCACCUCCCGCUGCUGGGGCUCUCCUUCCUCUGAAAGCUCAGAGAUCUGUUUGCCCAGAGCAAAGGGAAGAGCAUGAGGGUAUUUGUGUAAAUUAGGUCAGGAAGCAUUGAUAAUAAACUGUCACUUCUGGUUGUGUAAUGGGAGCAAUUACGCGUUUAGGCCUUGUUAAGACAUCGGCAAGGAAAACAUGGUUUGUCUGGGAUAGGAGGAGUGUGAUGGCAAACAAAAAGGAGGGUCCUGUUGACACAAGGAUGAAGCUGCCAUUGCAUUGGAGGCAUUUCUGUUCCAUCCUGGUGCACCAGCAGCCUGGGGCUUGGAUUGACUCCCAUACAGGGCGACGCAGGGGGAUGCAGGACGCAGCAGAAGGCCGGGAACAGGCUCCGGGCUCUCCCUCGGCUCUGCUCCUUCCCCCAGGCACCCCACGGCUCCAGGAACUCAGGGACAAACAGCCAAAGGAAGUCAGUGGCAGAUUCUUGCUCCAUUGAAGUCAUCGAGCUGAGACAUGACAUUGUCCUGGACCACCCGCUUGAAUCAAAAACACAAGUUAUUGGGCUCAACGUGAGAAGAAUUGGGUGAAAUUCUCUGGCCUGCGAACAAGGGAGGUCAUACAGGAAGAUUUAAUGGGAUCUUCUGGCCUGGAAAUCCACAGAAGUAUCCUUGGUUGUCGCUGUUCGUGCGCAGCUGAAGCCCCCCUCGCGUCAUGUUGCAAAUAAUGAAAUAAAACUCUCAAUAAGCUGAA